UAGUCCACACCGUAAACGCUGUCUACUAGCUGUUUGUGAGUUUAACUCGUGAGUAGCGAAGCUAACGCGCUAAGUAGACCGCCUGGGGAGUACGGUCGCAAGAUUAAAACUCAAAUGAAUUGACGGGGGCCCGCACAAGCGGUGGAGCAUGUGGUUUAAUUCGAUGCAACGCGAAGAACCUUACCUACACUUGACAUUCAGCGAACUUACCAGAGAUGGUUUGGUGCCUUCGGGAACGCUGGGACAGGUGCUGCAUGGCUGUCGUCAGCUCGUGUCGUGAGAUGUUGGGUUAAGUCCCGCAACGAGCGCAACCCUUGUCCUUAGUUGCCAUCAGGUAAUGCUGGGAACUCUAAGGAGACCGCCGGUGACAAACCGGGAGGAAGGUGGGGACGACGUCAAGUCAUCAUGGGCCCUUAUGGGGCAGGGGCUACACACGUGCUACAAUGGCGAGUACAGAGGGUUGCUAACCAGCGAUGGGGGUGCUAAUCUCUUAAAGCUCGUCGUAGUCCGGGAUU
rnacentral:rRNA from 1 species